AUUAUUGCUUUAACACUUUUGAGUGGUACUUUAUUUUUUGCAGCCAAUGUAAUUAAACCGGUUCAUGUGGGCGGUUGGAUUCGCCUGGGAAUUCAUUUGGUUUUUUUCUCAAUGGCCACGGGUAUAGUUUAUAAUAUUUCUUUUCACUUAGCGCUGAGGUUUGUGGAGGAAAAGAAAAUAAGUACAAGUAUUUCAAAAAGAUGUACAUAUUUAUUUGCAAAUCAUAAGUAAAAAAGAAACAUUUUGAAAGUUAAAUUAAUGUAUGAUAUGAUUUUCAGCUCAAGUCAUAAUGCAGCUGGACUUGGAUACUAUGAGAGUUACUAACUAACUAUGGUGAGCCUUAUAACAUGAUGACUACUUGGCUAGGCGCCGUCUUGUGGUUGGUGUGGUGGGUGUGCCAGUUGGCGGUUUUGGUAUCUGAAAGUAAGAUCAAAACUAUUAUAGCUGAUCUCGAUGAAGAUCCCCUUUUGUUCGACUUACCGAACGUAUGGGCUUCGGUGUGAGUGAAUUUGCUGGCGGUGGUUCGCGUGGUUGUGGUCCAUCCGGAUGACCCACCACGGUUACUGCAACGGGUCUUUGCUCUGAGCUGGCACGCUCCGUACUUUCACUACGCGAGUUGGAGCCGGAACGCUUGAACAUGCCGGACAGACGACCACGUAGAUCCUUUUUGCUUGAUCUCAUGUCGCUCGCUACGCUUAUGUCCGAGUCAGAUCCUUGAAUCUACACACAUAUAUUCAUAAGUAAAAGGUUGAUUUUCAUAUUUUG